GACGAACGCUGGCGGCGUGCUUAACACAUGCAAGUCGAACGGAAAGGCCCUGCUUUUGUGGGGUGCUCGAGUGGCGAACGGGUGAGUAACACGUGAGUAACCUGCCCUUGACUUUGGGAUAACUUCAGGAAACUGGGGCUAAUACCGGAUAGGAGCUCCUGCUGCAUGGUGGGGGUUGGAAAGUUUCGGCGGUUGGGGAUGGACUCGCGGCUUAUCAGCUUGUUGGUGGGGUAGUGGCUUACCAAGGCUUUGACGGGUAGCCGGCCUGAGAGGGUGACCGGCCACAUUGGGACUGAGAUACGGCCCAGACUCCUACGGGAGGCAGCAGUGGGGAAUAUUGCACAAUGGGCGGAAGCCUGAUGCAGCAACGCCGCGUGCGGGAUGAAGGCCUUCGGGUUGUAAACCGCUUUCGCCUGUGACGAGGCGUGAGUGACGGUAAUGGGUAAAGAAGCACCGGCUAACUACGUG
rnacentral:rRNA from 1 species